GCCGGUUUGGCUCAGUGGAUAGAGCGUCAGUUUGCGGACUGAAGGGUCCCGGGUUCGAUUCCUGCCAAGGGCA
rnacentral:tRNA from 1 species